rnacentral:rRNA from 1 species
AGAGUUUGAUCCUGGCUCAGAUUGAACGCUGGCGGAAUGCCUUACACAUGCAAGUCGAACGGCAGCACGGGGCAACCUGGUGGCGAGUGGCGAACGGGUGAGUAAUAUAUCGGAACGUGCCCAAUCGUGGGGGAUAACGUAGCGAAAGUUACGCUAAUACCGCAUACGAUCUACGGAUGAAAGCGGGGGAUCGCAAGACCUCGCGCGAAUGGAGCGGCCGAUAUCAGAUUAGGUAGUUGGUGGGGUAAAGGCUCACCAAGCCAACGAUCUGUAGCUGGUCUGAGAGGACGACCAGCCACACUGGAACUGAGACACGGUCCAGACUCCUACGGGAGGCAGCAGUGGGGAAUUUUGGACAAUGGGCGCAAGCCUGAUCCAGCCAUUCCGCGUGCAGGAUGAAGGCCUUCGGGUUGUAAACUGCUUUUGUACGGAACGAAACGGUCUGCCCUAAUACGGCAGGCUAAUGACGGUACCGUAAGAAUAAGCACCGGCUAACUACGUG